CCCGCGGGCGUGGCGCAGGUGGGAGGACGGCAGGUCCCGCCGCGCUCCCGUUACUCAGCCGCGCGGGGGGAGAAGGAGCAAACCCAGAGCUCCUGGAUUUCCUGUUGCUGCUGCCCGAGAUGGGGCAAAGAAAUGAACCGGGUUGUCCCCCGCUGCCUCCCAGUAUCGGUUGUCCCUGCAAAGACAAAGCUAUAUGAGCUUCAUCAGGAAAUGUGACGAGUCCCCUCCGAGCAACUAGCCAAAAUCUGUUCCACUGCACAUCACCUGAGCACUAUCUGGUUGAG